AUUGAACGCUGGCGGAAUGCUUUACACAUGCAAGUCGAGCGGCAGCACGGGGCCAACCCUGGUGGCGAGCGGCGACGGGUUGAGUAUUACACCGGACAAUGCCCGGCCGUGGGGGAAAAAACUCCGAAGGAAGUGCUAAUCCCCCAAAGGUCCUGAGGGGGAAAGGGGGGGUUGCCAAGACCCGGGGCGUUGGGGUUGGCCGAUGUCAGAUUAGCUAGUUGGUGGGGUAAAGGCCUACCAAGGCAACGAUCUGUAGCUGGUCUGAGAGGAUGAUCAGCCACACUGGGACUGAGACACGGCCCAGACUCCUACGGGAGGCAGCAGUGGGGAAUUUUGGACAAUGGGGGCAACCCUGAUCCAGCCAUUCCGCGUGAGUGAAGAAGGCCUUCGGGUUGUAAAGCUCUUUCGGCAGGAACGAAACGGUGAGCUCUAACAUAGCUUGCUAAUGACGGUACCUGAAGAAGAAGCACCGGCUAACUACGUG
rnacentral:rRNA from 1 species